AGAUCUACAUUAGGGAUCUUAGAGAUUAAGGGUAGAGAUGUGGCCGCCUAAUAGUAUAAGUGUGGCUUGGUUUUCCAAGCCCUCUCUCUCUUUUUUUUGAUGAAGGGCGAAGCUAUGCCAAAUCUUGGCCUAAAAUCCUAAUUCCAAUUUCAUUUUGGAUCCUAAUGCUCAUUGUGCACCUUAUGAAUGUGUGAUCAUUGAUUUUUUUAUUGUGGGUGGUGCUUAUUGUGGUUUAGAAGGCACUCCCUUAGAAUUAGUGGUUUCCAAAUACUUCCAUAGUUAAGUAGGUUUAAAGGGCCUCGGAUUUUUCCCAAUCAGUGUUUGGUACUUUUAAUUUUUACAGUGAAUUUUUUUGAGCACAUACCUCUUAUUUUCAGCUUUCCAACGAGCUCAAGCUUGCUCAAUUUGGAGCUAAAACAAUUUUUUUGUGAGUUUUUGAGUGCGAGGGGUGGGCUGCCUUGGCAGUUUGGAUCACCAGUCUUUGAAAAGACAUUUCUCAAUGCCGUUUACUUAAAACAUUCUGAAAUUUUAAGAAUAAGAGAAAAUACAAGUUUAGCUUCCAAUGGCGCAAGUUUGAUUAUGUUUGAAGUAGAUCCGAAUUUUUGGUGAAUUUUGCAGUAGAAGGGAGUUGCUGCCCUAAAUUCUUGAUCCCUCUUAGUUUUUAUUUUCUCUUUUAUUUUUACAGUAACGUGUAACUUCCAUAUGUAAACUUUGAACUUUAACUGUAAUUUUUUACUUUUUACUUAA
rnacentral:lncRNA from 1 species